AGCAGCCCCUCUCUGGUGGGGUGGGGGACUGUGCUCUCGGAUCCAGUGAGAGCCAGAACUGAGCCAGGCUGCUGGCCAGCCCACUGGCGGCAAGGGGGAGGAGGAAAUGCGCGUAGUCUAUGGCAUUAAGCUAUAAGGCAUUUGUGGAUAAUCGGUUCAAUGACUACACUCAGGCUGCGUCUAGACUGGCAAGUUUUUCCACAAAAGCAACUGCUUUUGCGGAAAAACCUUGCCAGCUGUCUACACUGGCCACAUGAAUUUGCGCAAGAGCACUGAUGAUCUCAUGUAAGAUUGUCAGCGUUCUUGCGCAAAUACUAUGCUGCUCCCGCUCGGGAAAAAGCCCUCGUGGGCAAAUGCUUUUGUGCAAGAGGGCCAGUGUAGACAAUUAGCUCCGAAGUAUUCUGCCACACCUCUAUGGCCUUUUCUCAGCAUCUGUGGAUGCUUGGCCUCUGUGGCCAUGUCCAGAAUCCAGAGAUGGCUUUUGCCUAAGGGCUGUAACAGUUACAUGGGGCGGGAGGAGCUAAGAGACUAGAACCACACCAGGGCAAGCGGAGUGCCUCCCUGCCUGCCAUCCAAAGCUGGGCUUGAAAGCUGUUGAGCUGCUCCAGGCCAUUCCUGAGGAGUGGCUACCAGGAGGUACCAACUGAUGGAGCGAGGCCUCCUGGGUAGGGGCUCCACGGGGAGCUACCGUGACAUUGGCCCUUGCACAGCUAUGCUCCUGCACCUUGCAUCAUGCUGCCGCCGAAACCAUUCUCUUACCUCUCUGUUUGCAACAGGCCCAGAUUCCAUCCUGUCCCCAUCUGGCAGCUGCUGGCUGAGAUGCCCCUACAGAAAGCACUAGCAACAGCUUAAUUUACUGACCAGAAAGAUUCACAACAGAGACAUUUUCUCUCCUGGCCUAAACCAUCUCAAAACAGCAAAGGGGAAGUUGUUCAUGACAGUCCUGCUAUAGUAUUACUCUUGUCGGAUGUGUUAAACAAAGGAGCAAUUCCAUUUUCAGGAUGCAGAAGAAGGGCCUGCUCCUGGCACUUGGGAAUUCCGAUUAUCGAAGAAAGCUGCACUUAUGUAUCUUCUAUCAGAAAUAAGUUCCACAGUCACGAAAAGGGUAAGCAGAAAAGUUUUUUCAAUGGAAGAGUAUUACAACCCAGUUCAGCAAAGUAUUUAAGGAUCUACUUAAUUUUAAGCUUGUGAGUAGUCCCAUUAAGUUAAUGGAACCACUCAUAUGCGUAAUGUAUUAAGCAUGUUUGUAAAUGUUUUGCUGUAUCAGGGUCUUUAUAAGCAGAUACACCACCAGGCCCAUGGAUCCGGAAGGGUAACCUGAAAUAGCUCUGUAUUUUACUGAAAAUUUUUAGUAUAAAUAUAAGGGAUUAAAAUGAAUCCACUGAGGUAAUUACUUUUAUUAUGAAAAGUUCAAUAAUUAUCAUAAUGCUAGUCAAUAGGACAAACAUUUAUGUUUCAGAAUGACAGAGUAUUUCCAGUAUUAAUACAGAGCAUUCCAGUUCAUUCCAAAAGGAGUUUACUUUCAUAUUGGGUUCCCAUUCUGUGUGUGUGGUAACUUAAUAUGUAAGGUUCCAUUUCAGUAAAAUAAAUGGAAAUUAUGAGGCUGCCACCGCCAAAGUGUGAGAGCCAGACAAUUAUUUUUAACUGAACCAGGUCAUAAAGCAGCAGUUCACAAAUGUAUACAGAGUUCUGAUAAUGAGCUAUAUAGCACACAUAUUGUAAUUCAAUGCUGGCAGUGAACAGAAGUAAUUAAAAACCAGGUACAAUUAUAGAAAAGGCACCAAGAGCACUGACCCCAUUUUUUGCCACAAUCUUUGUGAUUACUCUUCUUUUAAAGAUACCAGUUUAUAAGCUUCUCAUUUGUGAAUAUUUUUAGGCUUCACAAAAAGCCUGGAGUUUGAACAGUUUAAUUGGUGGC